UCCUAGGUAGUCCAAUGGUUAGGACACUACACUUUCACUGCUGAGGGACAAAGUUCAACCCCUGGUCAGGGAA
rnacentral:tRNA from 1 species